AGAAAAAAAUAAACAAGCAUGACUUCGGCAGUUUAGACUCCACUGUCUUAAAAAGCCCAUCUCACCGUGCAAACAUCACUGGAUUGACCAUAUUUCAUUCUUGAAUUGAAGCUCACAUUUCUCCACAGAUCUCCGUCGCUAUAAUCCGAAGAUCACGCGCUAGCCGCAAUCGGAAUGUCAGACGAAGACGAGGAAAUUCCGGACCUUGUUCCUGCCACCUUUGAGAGGGUCCCCAUCACUGUCAUCACUGGAUUCCUCGGAGCAGGAAAAACCACUCUUCUGAAUUAUGUCUUGACAGAACAGCAUGGAAAGAGAAUCGCGGUCAUCAUGAAUGAAUUUGGUGAAGGAGACUCUAUUGAGAAGUCCAUGUCUGUGGGACAGGAGGGUGAACUCUUUGAGGAAUGGCUGGAGCUCAGGAAUGGAUGCUUGUGCUGCUCAGUCAAAGAUAAUGGGGUCAAGGCCAUAGAGAACCUUAUGACCAAAAGAGGGCGCUUUGAUUACGUUCUCCUGGAAACAACAGGACUAGCAGACCCUGGUCCUAUAGCCUCUAUAUUCUGGUUAGACGAAGAACUGUGCAGUGAAAUAUUUCUGGAUGGUGUCAUCACCAUGGUGGAUGCUAAACACUGUCUACAGUCUUAGUAUUUCAAUGCAAGAGUUAUGGAACUUGGACAAGAAUUGGAGACUUCCUGAGAAUGAAAACUGCAUCUACAGGAAGUUAAACAAGAUGGUUCUACCAAUGAAGCCACACGGCAGGUGGCUCUAGCUGAUGUGAUUAUAAUUAAUAAAACUGACCUAGUUAAUGCCAAGGAACUAGACCAAGUCAAAUCAAGUAUACGAUCUAUAAAUAGAUUAGCCAAAUUAAUUGAGACUACUAGGGCUAGAACUGACCUUGACUCCAUAUUGGAUCUAAAUGCAUAUGACGGCAAAAGUAAAACAAGUUUGGAGGAAUUGUUUCAAGAGAGAGGAUUUGAGAAGGAAAAUGUACACAAAAUUGAUCAGGAUGUGACAACAUUUACCAUGGAGUUUUCAGGAAAUAUGGAUAAGCAGAGAAUUGACAAGGUCCUACAGGAUUUACUUUGGGACAAAGAACUAGUCAAUUCAAGGGGAGAUAAGCAGGAAAUCUACAGACUCAAGGGUUUGAUAUCAGUGGCGGGAGAUGACAGACGCCUAGUUGUACAAGCCGUCCACGAGUUAUACGAUUCCUUCUUCACGUCAAAAUGGGAGGAAGAGGAUCAACGGAUUAACAGAUUAGUCUUUAUAGGUAGGAACUUAGAGAGAGCCUCCCUGGAGUCCAGGCUCGCUCUGAGGGGACCAGCCAAUCAGAGCUCUUGAUGACGGCUCCACUCGACCCGUCGAGGCUUAGGAUAGCUGGGGGAAUUGGACGGUAUUAAUAUUUAUUGUUCCUGCACACAACAAUUGGGCCUAGGAUUUAGUGCCUCUCCAGAACAUUUAAUUGUGAUCCAAUGUCAGCUACUGCCAAAUUUUACCAACGAAAACAGAAAGAUUGUUCACAUGGAUUUAUUUUAUUAAUAUGGACAAAACACUCUCAACAAAUAUGCACAAAAAUUGAUGCUAGGCAAUUGAAAGACUGAAUGUGGGCCACAGUGUGUUGGUAAUUGAUCAACACAUAAAAUACAUGUGGCGUGUGGCAUUGAAUAAUACUGACGGUUUUAGCUACCACUGUUUGUUAAUAAAUGAAUAAUCAAAACUAG
rnacentral:misc_RNA from 1 species